GGUACGUCGUUUCCGUAGUGUACCGGUUAUCACGUCUGCUUUACACGCAGAAGGUCCCCGGUUCGAUCCCGGGCGGUACCA